UACGGGGGGGGCAAGCGUUGUUCGGAAUUACUGGGCGUAAAGGGCGCGUAGGCGGCCCUCUAAGUCAGACGUGAAAUCCCACGGCUCAACCGUGGAACUGCGCCUGAUACUGGAGGGCUUGAAUCCGGGAGAGGGAUGUGGAAUUCCAGGUGUAGCGGUGAAAUGCGUAGAUAUCUGGAGGAACACCGGUGGCGAAGGCGGCAUCCUGGACCGGUAUUGACGCUGAGGCGCGAAAGCUAGGGGAGCAAACGGG
rnacentral:rRNA from 1 species